rnacentral:rRNA from 1 species
AACGAACGCUGGCGGCGUGCUUAACACAUGCAAGUCGAACGCGAAAAUUCUCCUCGGAAAGUGAGUAGAGUGGCGCACGGGUGAGUAACGCGUAAGUUAUCUACCUCGGCAUCUGGAAUAACUCACCGAAAGGUGUGCUAAUACCGGAUACGUUGAGUAAUCAAGAAAGGUGGCCUCUGAAUAUGCUACUGUGCUGAGAUGAGCUUGCGUACCAUUAGCUAGUUGGUAGGGUAAUGGCCUACCAAGGCAACGAUGGUUAGCGGGUCUGAGAGGAUGAUCCGCCACACUGGAACUGAAACACGGACCAGACUCCUACGGGAGCAGCAGU